UGGGGAAUAUUGCACAAUGGGCGCAAGCCUGAUGCAGCCAUGCCGCGUGUAUGAAGAAGGCCUUCGGGUUGUAAAGUACUUUCAGUCGGGAGGAAGGUGGUAAGGUUAAUAACCUUAUCAAUUGACGUUACCGACAGAAGAAGCACCGGCUAACUCCGUGCCAGCAGCCGCGGUAAUACGGAGGGUGCAAGCAUUAAUCGGAAUUACUGGGCGUAAAGCGCACGCAGGCGGUCUGUCAAGUCGGAUGUGAAAUCCCCGGGCUCAACCUGGGAACUGCAUCUGAUACUGGCAAGCUUGAGUCUCGUAGAGGGGGGUAGAAUUCCAGGUGUAGCGGUGAAAUGCGUAGAGAUCUGGAGGAAUACCGGUGGCGAAGGCGGCCCCCUGGACGAAGACUGACGCUCAGGUGCGAAAGCGUGGGGAGCAAACAGG
rnacentral:rRNA from 1 species